UACGGGGGGGGCUAGCGUUAUUCGGAAUCAUUGGGCGUAAAGGGCGCGUAGGCGGUCUUUUAAGUCAGAUUUGAAAGCCCUCGGUUUAACCGAGGAAGUGCAUUUGAUACUAAGAGACUUGAGUAUGGGAGAGGGAAGCGGAAUUCCUGGUGUAGCGGUGAAAUGCGUAGAUAUCAGGAGGAACACCGGUGGCGAAGGCGGCUUCCUGGACCAAUACUGACGCUGAGUCGCGAAGGCGCGGAGCGAAAACAGG
rnacentral:rRNA from 1 species